rnacentral:rRNA from 1 species
UACAGGGGGUGCAAACGUUGCUCGGAAUUAUUGGGCGUAAAGCGCACGUAGGCGGUUUGUUAUGUCGGACGUGAAAGCCCCAGGCUUAACCUGGGAACUGCGUCCGAUACUGGAAGGCUUGGAUUCGGGAGAGGGAUGUGGAAUUCCAGGUGUAGCGGUGAAAUGCGUAGAUAUCUGGAGGAACACCGGUGGCGAAGGCGGCAUCCUGGACCGAGAUCGACGCUGAGGCGCGAAAGCUAGGGGAGCAAACGGG